CACGACAUCAGGGAACUGCAGAAGACCGCCAUUUUGGGAACUUCAAAACAUCAUCCACACUUGGUGGGAGUACUUCAACGGGGAUCGGGUUAUCGCAAGGUCUCUACCUGCAUAGAAAAUCGGGAACAACAAACAUCCACGGCUCCAGCGGAACUUGAAACCACAGUCCCAGUGAACAAAUAGGCCAAGACCAUGGGCCAUGCCAUUGCUGACAACUGACAGGUCAAAUACAAAAAUCGAAGCUUGUCUUCACAAAGAGACUUAUUUAGUUGAAGAUGGGUUGUUGCGCCGCGUAGUAUGGUAGAAGUUUACCGACGUUACAGAGGUCCUUGCUGCCUCCAUCAUCAUGGUGAUGGUCUAGCACCUUUGAAACGUCGGUAAACGGUUACCAGACAUCACGGCGCAACGACCCGUAAGACGCUUAUCUCCGAAGUCUCAGAUAUUUGUGUGAUUUAUAUUACCGUACUGCAUCGCAUAAAUCGCUGUAAAACAUCAGCCCCACCCCCUGUGUGAAUGGAAUAUUUACGACUGAAAAAUCUUGCGAAGUGUCACUCAGGACUGAACGUUAUCUGAGAAUUAAUUAGAAGAAGUGACAGAAAACAAAAGCCUGCAGCAACCGCUGAAGUCUCUGAGAUGACAUUCACAAUGAAAUGUUAAUUAGCAUUCAGCAAUAAGUAACUCUCUGGUACAGAGCAUUCUUUGAGAAAUGUGUAUAGGUGUAGCUACGGCAGUUAAGGCAUGGAGUAAAAUGUUACCUUGUAAAGGCAUUAUACUUCACUAUUUUUAUAAAUUUUAUAAAAAAAUUAAAUAAUUUGUAAUGUUUAUAAAGCAAUUACCAAGGAUUUUUUUCGUAAACAAUAAAUAAUAUGCCUUUUC